rnacentral:lncRNA from 1 species
UUGUGUGACACUAAAGUUGAACUCAGGUCAUCAGACUUGGCAGUGUUGUUACUUGAUGCUGUCUCAUUUCCAUAUGUAUAUAUUAGUUCUUUGAUACUUACUGUUUUUGUUUUGUUUUUAAAGAUUUAUUUAUUUAUUUUAUGUGUAUGAGUAUUCUAUCUGCAUGUACACCUGUGUGCCAGAGAGGGCAUCAGAUCCCAUUGUAGAUGAUUGUGAGCCACCAUGUGGCCACUGGGAAUUGAACUCAGGACUUCUGGAAGAGCAGCCAGUGCUCUUAACCUCUAAGGUAUCUCUCCAGCCCCUUCUUCAUGUAUCUUAUUUUUAAAAUGGUACCUAAAGAGAAAAAAAAAAGAAAAAGAAAAAAAGAAAAAAAAAAAAAAAAACAAGGUGUUGGAUAGAUGUCUCCAUGGUUAGCAGUACUUGCUGUACAAGCAUGAGGACAUUAGAUUGGAUCCCACAACCAUGUAAAAUGUCACGUGUGGCAAGUUUGUGACCCAGUGCAGACCUGGGGUUUGCUGGCUCUCAGUCUAGCUCCUGGUUUAAUGAGAGAUUUGAGUUUAGAAGGACUAAGGUAGACUUUGACAAAGACAUGUGAUGUCCUGUGUACUACACAAAGCAUGUGCACCUACAUACACAUGUGCAUAUACUGCAAAACGUUUACUAUAUUCUCAUUAUACAUACAUGAACAUACAUGCAAAAUAAUAAUGAAUGUUGAAAACCAAAACCUCAAACUAUACUGUUAGAGAUUCAGAAAGAUCAUUGAUAGCCUUUUAAUGUAUGUCGUUAUUAAUGGAAAAUUUAUAUUUCACCUAUUAAUGACAAAAAAGAU